AACGAACGCUGGCGGCAUGCCUAACACAUGCAAGUCGAACGAAGGCUUUGGCCUUAGUGGCGCACGGGUGAGUAACGCGUGGGAAACUGCCUAUUGGUGGGGAAUAACGACGGGAAACUGUCGCUAAUACCGCAUAAGCCCUUCGGGGGAAAGAUUUAUCGCCGAUAGAUGUGCCCGCGUCCGAUUAGCUAGUUGGUGAGGUAAUGGCUCACCAAGGCGACGAUCGGUAGCUGGUCUGAGAGGAUGAUCAGCCACACUGGGGCUGAGACACGGCCCAGACUCCUACGGGAGGCAGCAGUGGGGAAUAUUGGACAAUGGGCGAAAGCCUGACCCAGCAAUGCCGCGUGAGUGAUGAAGGCCUUAGGGUUGUAAAGCUCUUUCGGGUGGGACGAUGAUGACGGUACCACCAGAAGAAGCCCCGGCUAACUUCGUGCCAGCAGCCGCCGUAA
rnacentral:rRNA from 1 species